rnacentral:rRNA from 1 species
AUGUAUCCACUAGCUUGGGUUGUAUUUGAGCAGGAAACCAAAGAAACUUGGAAAUGGUUUGUUGGGCUACUCAUCAAGGAUCUUGACAUCAACAACAAUGGAGCUGGUUGGGUGUUUAUCUCUGAUCAACAAAAGGGCCUAAUCAAUGCCAUGAAGGACUAUCUUCCAGCUGUAGAGCACAAGAUGUGCGCUAGGCACGUAUAUGCUAACUGGAGGAAGAAGCACAAAGCUCAUGACUGGCAGAAAAAAUUGGGUUGUUGCCAAAGCUUCCAAUAA